UACGUAGGGUGCAAGCGUUGUCCGGAAUUAUUGGGCGUAAAGAGCUCGUAGGCGGUCUGUCGCGUCGGCUGUGAAAUCCCGAGGCUCAACCACGGGUCUGCAGUCGAUACGGGCAAACUGGAGUGUUGCAGGGGAGACUGGAAUUCCUGGUGUAGCGGUGAAAUGCGCAGAUAUCAGGAGGAACACCGGUGGCGAAGGCGGGUCUCUGGGCAACAACUGACGCUGAGGAGCGAAAGCGUGGGGAGCGAACAGG
rnacentral:rRNA from 1 species